rnacentral:rRNA from 1 species
UACGGGGGGGCAAGCGUUGUUCGGAAUUACUGGGCGUAAAGGGCGCGUAGGCGGCUUUUCAAGUCGGGCGUGAAAUCUCCGGGCUUAACCCGGAAGGGUCGUUCGAUACUGUUGAGCUAGAGUGUGGAAGAGGCAACUAGAAUUCCGUGUGUAGCGGUGAAAUGCGUAGAUAUCUGGAGGAACACCGGUGGCGAAGGCGGCAUCCUGGACCGGCAUUGACGCUGAGGCGCGAAAGCCAGGGGAGCAAACGGG